ensembl:lncRNA
UCAACUAUUGUACUGCCUGACAGAAUUCCACCGUCUCCCACGCCUGGCUAUAGACGCAGUCCUGAGGCACCCUAAUGACUCGCGUGAAUUUACCGAAUGGACGCUCCAAAUUAGUAGCAAAUGUCACAUCUCUUAAAACUGAGGCCAUGCUCCCAACAUAACCUCCAGGUAGAUUCAGCUGCCUCCAGAAUCAUUAAAUCCGAGAAGUCAACAGCAAUUUCUAUUUUGUGAGUUUGCAGUUCUCAAACAUAUGUCAACACCAAAAUCUUGACUCUGAGAAGCCAGUAUCACAUGCCCAUUCUGCAGAUGACAGCUGGAAGACUCGGAAUGUAAGUCAUCCAUCCGAUGAGCUGGUCCACCAGGCACGUCGUGUCCAGAGGCCCCGCCCUACGCCUCUGUGCUCUGCGGCGUCCUCCAGCCCCGAGAGAAGCUGCCUUUCAGUCCUCCUGUCUGUCUGUUCCUUCACUCCAUUUCCCAGGUUAAGGUGCUGGCUUUUCAAGGUCAUGAAACCAUGAUACAGAACGUUUUCGAUCCCUAAAGAGAUCUGCAAUUUCUUUCCAAAGAUGAAGGUGUUAACCUUGGAGUCUUGGACAAAUUUCAAAUCCAGUAAUUGCAUUCUGCCUGUUUUGACUUUACUCAGAAGUAAGAUCAUUGAAAAACAUCCUAGAACAAAAGGUUUCUGUUGCGAGGACCUAAGCCAGUAGUUUCGAUCCUGGGAGCAGUUUGUCCGAAUGACAGGAAAACUGAUGUCAGAAGAAAACUUCCAGAAGUUACGAGGCUACAAAGCAGCAGAGCUGGACUUGAAGCCCGGACAUCUUAGCAUCAAAGACUCUGGCCUCAGCCCCGUUGGGAUGGACGGCUGAGCAGCUCAGUGCUGCGCUGUCCACGCAGGCCCCGUAGCCAUAGUUCAGAAAGAAGUUGUUUAAAAAGGCAGAUUUCUGGAUCCCAGUGGUGGAAAUCUCUGGGAGUGGGGCCCGGGAGUCUCUGUUUAGAAUGAGCCGCCUGGAGUCGUCCUUGUGCACACUGCAGUUUGAGAAGUCGACUAUACGGGUGCCUUGUCUGGCUCCAGGAGGUAAAUGGAGACUCAGUCAACUGUGAUCAUUGUCCUGCUUGGGGCCAGAUUGAAGAAAUGCUGAGCUGGGGGGCUACCUACAGAGUCGCGUUCUUGAAUGAAUGAUUCAUUCCAUAAUCAUCUACUGACAAUCCUCACGUCCUCAGGGCUCCAUCCACGGCCUUCUUUUCACUUUCCACAGCAUCCCCAGGUGAUCUCAACCACACGUGGUCUCUGUCACCACCAGUUGCCUGUGCAUCUUGUCCAGCAACCCAAACAUGGCAGCAAACUCUUUGUCACUCCUCCCAUCGAGAGGCAGGGUCUAGACCCCCUCCCUAGUGUCUGGACAGGCUUGUGACAGCUCGAAGAACAGAGCACCAGGAAGUGAUGCUCUGUUAUUUCAGAAGGUUGGUCAUAAAAGGUAUGCGGCUUCUACCUGGCUCUCCGGGAUGCUCCCUCGCAGAAUCUAGCCACCAUGCUUCCAGAAGCCCAAGCCACAUAGAUGAGCUUUGAGUCCAGCCUCCAAGUCAGUGCACCCCUGAUCCAGACAUAUGAGUAGAGAAGCUUCUGGAUGACUCCAGCCGUCAGCCUUUCAAGUUACCCUCAGCUCCAGGUCUUCUCACACAUGGUGGGGUAGGGACAAGCUCCCCACUGCUGGCUUCCAUCCAAAUUCCUGACCCACUGAAGCUGUGAUCCUAAUGAAAUACCUGUUGUUUUAUGCCUCGAAUUUGGGAGUGGUUUGUUAUGCGGGAUUAGUAACCAGAACAAGCAGCAACUGAACAUCCCACAAAAACCUGAACUGUGACAUCUGAAAUGGCAUUCAUCGCCUUUCUCCUUCCUGACAGGUGCCAUAUUGCGGAGAUGGUCCCCAUCCACACCGUGUCGGUUAGGGAUGCAAAUAACAAAAGCCUCACUAAGCCACCGGAAAGAAGUGGGGCUGGGCAAGGUCACAUAUUUUCUUUCUCAAAACAAGAAACUCGAGGUGAGAUGCUGCUGGCAUUGACUCCGCUGCUCAACGAUGCUUCGAGGAUCAAAGACCUAUUUUUUAAUCCCUGCAUUCUCAUGCUGGGCUUGACAUCAAAGAUGGUUGCUGCCUCUCCAGACAUUGUGUGUGUGUGUGUGUUUAAUACGUUAUUCUGUUGCAAGAAAGAAGUAGGAGAUGGUUAUUGGGACAGAGUGUACCUAACAACGUCACUGCCAGAUUCGUUGUCAACCCAGAAAUAGAAGUGCUGCCUUCUUCCCAGGGCCCCGACCAAUCAGGGAGGUGUCCUCUCUAUUUACUCUCCUCUGAAACUCACCUGCCUCUGCCCAGCCUCUGCUCCUUCCUCAGCUCAGACCCCUGACAUCUCUGGGAUUACUGGAACGAUAGGUCUCAUUGCC